CACAUAGUUAGCCGGUGCUUCUUCUGCAGGUACCUGUCACUUUCGCUUCUUCCCUGCUGAAAGCGGUUUACAACCCGAAGGCCUUCAUCCCGCACUGCUGGCUGUCGCUGGUGUCAGAGUUUCA
rnacentral:rRNA from 1 species